UGAAGAAUCCAUGAGACGGCUCUUUGAAUCCAUCAACAAUCUGAUGAAAAGUCAAUACAAAACUACCAUCCUUUUGCAGGUGGCGGCUUUGAAAUACAUCCCAUCUGUCCUGCAUGAUGUAGAAACAGUCUUUGAUGCGAAGUUACUCAGCCAACUCCUGUAUGAGUUCUACACCUGCAUCCCUCCUGUGAAACUCCAGAAGCAGAAAGUACAGUCUAUGAAUGAGAUAGUCCAGAGCAACCUCUUUAAAAAGCAAGAAUGCCGGGACAUUCUGCUUCCUGUCAUCACCAAAGAGCUGAAGGAGCUGCUGGAGCAGGAUGAUAUGCAACACCAGGUCCUGGAGAAGAAGUACUGCAUUGAAUUGCUCAACAGCAUCUUGGAAGUCCUUAGCUACCAGGAUGUGGCCUUCACCUACCACCACAUCCAGGAGAUCAUGGUCCAGCUGCUGCGGACAGUGAACCGGACAGUCAUCACCAUGGGCCGGGAUCACAUUCUGAUUGGAGCUUGCUGCAACUGCGGAUUCCCAUCCUCCACCCCACACUCUCUGAUUCAGUGGCUUUGGGGCUGAAAGCCAGCAACCAGUUUCCAUAGACACCCAGGAGGUUCCAAUGCAGAUGGUCCAUGACCACGCUUUGGGAGCACUGUCUAGGGCCUACAUCUUCAAUGUAAACCCUCAUGAUGCGCUUGGCUGAGUGGAACUCAGUGACAGUCGAACAUUCCACUGAGCCCUAAUACCCUUCAGAUGAGUCUGGCAUCUGGAAGGCAGCAUGCUGUGGAAUCUGGCUUGUUGGAAGACAGAACUGUGUUCUGCUGUGGCCGUUGCAAUUACUAUUUCCAGAAUAAUUGUGCAAGUGCCUCACCUCUCUAAGCUUCAAUUGCCUAAUCUGAAUGUUGAGCAAGUGCCUGACCCUUCCUGAGCAACAAGUUCCUUUAUCUGUAACAUGGGGUACUUUAAUCAAUCUCAUCAUUGUGAGGAUUAAGUGUGAAAACAAAAGGUACUUCAAGUGAUCAGUAAAUAAUGGAUCCUCAGUAAGUGGUAGCUCUCUUCUUUCUUUCCCUUAAGUUUCAGCCUGACAGAUCUCUUUCGUCAGCUGUUAUCAUUGUAAAAAUCAUCAAUUAAAGUCAAAUAAACUGGCCUCCAAUUAUGAGGA
rnacentral:sRNA from 1 species